GUGCUAUACAUGCAAGUCGAGCGAACAGAUAAGGAGCUUGCUCCUUUGACGUUAGCGGCGGACGGGUGAGUAACACGUGGGUAACCUACCUAUAAGACUGGAAUAACUCCGGGAAACCGGGGCUAAUGCCGGAUAACAUUUAGAACCGCAUGGUUCUAAAGUGAAAGAUGGUUUUGCUAUCACUUAUAGAUGGACCCGCGCCGUAUUAGCUAGUUGGUAAGGUAAUGGCUUACCAAGGCAACGAUACGUAGCCGACCUGAGAGGGUGAUCGGCCACACUGGAACUGAGACACGGUCCAGACUCCUACGGGAGGCAGCAGUAGGGAAUCUUCCGCAAUGGGCGAAAGCCUGACGGAGCAACGCCGCGUGAGUGAUGAAGGGUUUCGGCUCGUAAAACUCUGUUAUUAGGGAAGAACAAACGUGUAAGUAACUGUGCACGUCUUGACGGUACCUAAUCAGAAAGCCACGGCUAACUACGUGCCAGCAGCCGCGGUAAUACGUAGGUGGCAAGCGUUAUCCGGAAUUAUUGGGCGUAAAGCGCGCGUAGGCGGUUUCUUAAGUCUGAUGUGAAAGCCCACGGCUCAACCGUGGAGGGUCAUUGGAAACUGGGAGACUUGAGUGCAGAAGAGGAAAGUGGAAUUCCAUGUGUAGCGGUGAAAUGCGCAGAGAUAUGGAGGAACACCAGUGGCGAAGGCGACUUUCUGGUCUGUAACUGACGCUGAUGUGCGAAAGCGUGGGGAUCAAACAGGAUUAGAUACCCUGGUAGUCCACGCCGUAAACGAUGAGUGCUAAGUGUUAGGGG
rnacentral:rRNA from 1 species